rnacentral:rRNA from 1 species
CCAGACUCCUACGGGAGGCAGCAGUGGGGAAUAUUGCACAAUGGGGGAAGCCCUGAUGCAGCGACGCCGCGUGAGUGAAGAAGCGUUUCGGCGCGUAAAGCUCUGUCAGCGGGGAAGAAACACGGUUCGCGAGAGCCGCGGACGGUACCCGACCAAGAAGCCCCGGCUAACUACGUGCCAGCAGCCGCGGUAAUACGUAUGGAGCAAGCGUUAUCCGGAUUUACUGGGUGUAAAGGGAGCGCAGACGGCAGGGCAAGUCUGAUGUGAAAGUCCGGGGCUCAACCCCGGGACUGCAUUGGAAACUGUCCGGCUAGAGUGCAGGAGAGGUAAGUGGAAUUCCUAGUGUAGCGGUGAAAUGCGUAGAUAUUAGGAGGAACACCAGUGGCGAAGGCGGCUUACUGGACUGUAACUGACGUUGAGGCUCGAAAGCGUGGGGAGCAAACAGGAUUAGAUACCCUUGUA